AAAUGAUCAUGUCGCAGAAUGAAGUUCUGAAAAAUGUCUUCCAGAAUACAAAUGCUACAACUACAAUGGAUUCGAAUUCAGUUCGUUUACAUCUGUGAGGUCAUUAAGUUCAGAGCAAUCUACUUCCACUAUUUUUUCAAAAGUCCAACCCAUUGUUUGAGGACAGACAAUGAGAAGCAACGAUGAUGGACCUAGGAUAAGGCGACAUGUGACCCGGUCAAGUUUAUUUAAAAAAAAAAAAAAAA